rnacentral:rRNA from 1 species
UACGUAGGGUGCGAGCGUUGUCCGGAAUUUACUGGGCGUAAAGAGCUCGUAGGUGGUUUGUCGCGUUUGUUUCGUGAAAACUCACAGCUUAACUGUGGGCGUGCGGGCGAUACGGGCAGACUGGAGUACUGCAGGGGAGACUGGAAUUCCUGGUGUAGCGGUGGAAUGCGCAGAUAUCAGGAGGAACACCGGUGGCGAAGGCGGGUCUCUGGGCAGUUUAGCUGACACUGAGGCGCGACAGCGUGGGGGAGCAAACAGG